UAGUUUAGAAGCGUUUGGCGGCGUUGAAGGUGUGUGCUAAAGCAAUCCGGUGCCAGAGCCAAAAUCUUGAAAAAUCUCAAAUCUUUGGAGACCAGAGUCGCACUUGGCCGAAUCAGAGAUCGAGAUCAGAAAAACCAGUGCAGUUUAGUGCCCGAUUCGGUGUGAAAUGCUCGGAGAUCGCGCCACCACCGUUCAACACAACUCCAUUUCCAAGUUCCAUAUUCAGUUCGUCGUUUCCUCUCCAGCCUCAAGAUAUCUGGGUAUGUCAUUUGCAUUCGCAGCUGUUUGAUAUAACCCCACAGGCACAUACGCACACACUUACACACUCACACACACCAGCGUUCUUAUAUAUGAUAGAAGGUACGUAUAGUAGAUCGUGAGCAAAUUCUUUAGACAUCCGGCUCUGUAGGAGCGACACACGCUUGCAGAAUUUUCAAUAGCGCUAUCGUCAUCUGCCUCAUCUCAUAUUCACGGUAAACUCUUGAUUUUCUGGCUGGGGCCGCAGAAAAACGUGUUCCGCGGCUACUCGAAAUCGAUUUGGUAAUCAGCUUCCUAUAUGUACAUAUAUGCUAAGAUCUGCGAUCUAGGCCUAGGCAAAGUCUCCGUUUUCGGCUCUUUUGUGGCCCCAAUCAGCGGCGGCAUCUCGCCCAGUCGAAUAGCUCCAUUUGAAUAUGCUGAUAUAUAGUACAUACCCCUCCAUUUCUCGUGAUGUGUGAUUUGUUCUUGGAACUAUUUGACUACGACUUGCGGUCAGCGACUAGGCGUCAACUCGCAUCUAUAUUUGGUAUGGAUAUUAUGUUGAUUCUGUAAUUUACGUCACCGCCUCGAGUCGAGAGAUUCGUUGGGAUUGGAGCUUAUAUGGUGAGAUCUAUCUCCAGGUGUACUCACUGCAAGUGCAAAGAAGAAAAUUCAAUGGAAGGCUAUAUAGAAACAGUCACUAGCUGAGUGCAUUACAGAUGGCUAUUAAUUCAAGAUUUGCCUGGAGAGCGAAAAUCAGGGGACUUUGUAUUACUCACUAACUUAUAAUAUAAAUGGCGUGGGAUUCAUGGUACUGCGUGAUAGGAUUGAAGCCCUUGCAGAUAAUUUAUAUAUUCCUCACUUGAAUCUUGGGUAAAUACGUGGGUUAACUUCCUCUCUUGAAGCGUAGCCCUUUGCUAAAUAAUAUAAGUUGGCAUUGUGUAACUAACUACCUUUAAGAACCCUUCAUUAAGCCAGUUAGCGUUUCAUCUGGAUCUGGAACUGCGUCCCCAGACUUUGAAUGUUUCCUAAAAGUCAUUCGUACUUCAGCCUUUUGAAUGGAUCGCAGAUCGUAAGUGGCUGGCUACUGUCGUCACACAAUAUACAUUGCACAAUUUGAGGCAGGCGCACAAAAUGGUGAAGUGAAGUGAAGUGGAGUAGAGUAAGACAGUGAAGUAAGACAUUCAGAAAAUUCGCCUGGCUGCUUGGGUGCUUUUCAACAUUUUCCGCCACUUUAUGUUCCAGCGAUUAUUACCAGUAGAGAGUGGUGCACGAGUAUGUGUGCGAGUCGGGGCGAGGAGUUGUGGAGUCGAGCGAGGCGCAUAAUUGUGGGAACUUGCGUUACGGAACGCUCGUCUAGCAAGCCGUAGACUUGUAGACUUGUGGACCUGGCUAAGGCCACUCAGCCGUUCACUUGGCUUACUCACUUACUGACUUGGCCCGGCGCUAUAAUGCCGAUGCAGGUCCGAGUCCGAGUCCAAGCCCAAACCCAAACCCAAACCCAAAACCAAACCCAAACUAAACCCACCACCACCACCACCCUCCAAUGCCUCCGUCUUCGUCUUCGCCUUCGUCACCGUCUUGGACUGCGACUAUGUCUUCCGUCGUUCCAGUUACAGUCACUUGACCAACCGAAACAUUGAGAAUGCGAUGGGAGUAAGAGUAGAGUAAGAAUGGGUCGGGUCUCGUUUUGGUGGGCAUAAUUGUUGAUCGUCGUAGCGUGCAUAUUUAUGGGAAUAUUUCUUGGAGCGAGGGAAAAUCAUUGCAGCUCCUCGCUUCUUCCCAUGGCAUCGAGUUUUCAAUUCCGUUUCUGGUUCUGGACGAACGCGCGCUCGUCCAACUUUGACCUUUUUCCGACCAUUAUCUCGUUGCGCAGUCUAUGCAAAAUGCAUACAAAUUCCACGUUGCAUUUCCCAAUGCAUUCGCAGCGGCGACGCCUGCGCAAAAACACACUUGUAUAAGACACAAAAAGCCAAAACCAAAUCCAAAACAACAAUGACGACAUAUAUGUCUGUGGGAAAUUAGAUUGUGUGCGUGAGUGGGCGACAAGUCGGUGAAACGAGCAAUCGAGUGAAUGUCCAUGGGGCUAGCGAGCACUUAACAUAAAUAAUAGACAAAAUAAAAAUAAACCCUGGGCACCAAAAGCGAAAAAAAAGUGAGGCGAAAUAAGCGUUCAUCAAAUUUAACAAAAGAGGAGGCCACUUUCCUUUCCCUUUCAACCAUCUGCAGUGUUACACAAUCGACUCUAUAUACAGGGUGCUAUGUUGUCUUUGGUUAUCUAGCUGUAUGAGUGAUAAAUAACGUCAUAAAGCUAGCUUACCGAAGUUAAUAUUAGCGUCUGCCCAGCGAGACAGCCAAAAACGAGGCCCACAUUGCGUAUACUUAACAUUGAGGAAACACAUCAAAAUAAGCGUACUAUUAGUAUAAACCCAUAUGUACACCAUGCAUGUUUAUGAUUUUGCAGUUUGGCUUUACGGCCAACUGCUUUGGCAAGCAAAAAAACCACCGCGUACAAACGAGUAAGUUUUAGUAUUUAAGUUUCGAAUCGUUUCGUAUCUCUCCUCUUUUGUUUUGCCUUGAUUUAUAGAUACGACCUUUGCAUGGAGUUGUUUUACCCCCUGCGAACAGCAAAAGAGGUGGAAAAGACAAGCGCGGAGGACUGACCCCACGAACAGCAGUCAAUGACGUUGCUAAUGAGCACCUGAUGAACACUGAUUCAUUGAAAUCGAUAUGAAAGAUCAUUUGCAGGCACUCAAGAUAAUAACGGCAAGCUGAAAAGUUUCGGAUAGCAACAACAUAGCUAGGAACUUUAGAGGAAAACCACUCUUAAAGCCGUCGAACUAUAAUAACUUGUAAACACCAUAAACUCGGAAAGUAAGCAAAUAACAUAUGUAUUAAUAAAUAGUAAUUAAUAGCGUGCAAUAAGUUAUAUAUCUACACUUCAAUUGAUCAGCUUAAUAGAAAGCUCAAUACAGAUUACACAUGUAUAAAUUUUCGGUUUAAACCAAAGUCUUAAGUUUUAAUAUUUCUCUUUCAGCUCGUAUAAUAGUUUAAAAAGGGUGAAUAUUAAAUUUAAAUCGAAGUAAAAUUAAUAUGGUAUAAAAAAAUAUAACUAACGGCAUAUUUAAACAAAACAGCUUAAAGUAUACCAUUUGGAAGCAAUAAACGUAUAAAGUAAGAGCAUCUUAAUGUACCUAGAUAUUUCUAUUCGGCAAGAACGUGGCUCAGCUCGCAGCGAUCUUGCUUUCACUGCCAAGUUGAAGUUCACAGAUCUCGACAAUAGUCAUAGGCAUAUGACUAACGACGACUAUGCAAAUUAGUUUGGGCCAUAUGCCCGGUGGUUAUCACAGACGCAAAAAGCAAAAGCACAACUCGACAUCUGUUCGUUCGGUCUGGGCCCAAAAGCAAAUUGCUAAGGUGGCUCAGACGAUCGUUUGGCAUCGAAUCGUGUGGCAUUAUACCGGCUGAUUCACUUACACUCCCGUAGCGCCUGUUCCAGCACAUAGAUAUAGGGGUGAUCACUGAGUUGGAGCUGGAGCUCGGAUUCAUAUAUAGCCGAUGAUGUAUGGUGGGAAUUUCCGCGACUUUUGCCAUUCGAUUGGUCGGUUUCCGAUCUCUCCUACAAGUUCAUAUAGGCGUUGUCUCCGAGAGAGAGUUUUUG
ensembl:ncRNA lncRNA:CR45916 long non-coding RNA:CR45916